GCCUGCAGGUGAGUGUGUCUUUAAACUUUCAAGCAGCCAAAGGGAUUAUGCUGUUGUAGGAAACAAGGUGUGCUCUGGUUAGUAUUUAGAUGGGAAACUGCUAGCAAAUACCAGGGGCUGUAGGCU
rnacentral:rRNA from 11 species